rnacentral:rRNA from 1 species
GACGAAGGGGGCUAGCGUUGUUCGGAAUUACUGGGCGUAAAGCGCGUGUAGGCGGUUGUUCAAGUCAGGUGUGAAAGCCUUGAGCUCAACUCAAGAAAUGCACUUGAUACUGGAUGACUAGAGGACCGGAGAGGAUAGUGGAAUUCCCAGUGUAGUGGUGAAAUACGUAGAGAUUGGGAAGAACACCAGUGGCGAAGGCGGCUAUCUGGACGGUUUCUGACGCUAAGACGCGAAAGCGUGGGGAGCAAACCAGG